rnacentral:rRNA from 1 species
UGCGUAGGCGGUUGUUUAAGUUUGGUGUGAAAUCUCCCGGCUUAACUGGGAGGGUGCGCCGAAUACUGAAUGACUCGAGUGCGGGAGAGGAAAGUGGAAUUCCUGGUGUAGCGGUGAAAUGCGUAGAUAUCGGGAGGAACACCGGUGGUGUAGACGGCUUUCUGGACCGUAACUGACGCUGAGACACGAAAGCGUGGGUAGCAAACAGGAUUAGAUACCCUGGUAGUCCACGCCCUAAACGAUGCAUAUUUGGUGUGGGCAGUUCAUUCUGUCCGUGCCGGAGCUAACGCGUUAAAUAUGCCGCCUGGGGAGUACAGUCGCAAGGCUGAA